ACUCCUACGGGAGGCAGCAGUAGGGAAUCUUGCGCAAUGGGCGAAAGCCUGACGCAGCGACGCCGCGUGCGGGAUGACGGCCCUAGUGGUUGUAAACCGCUUUCAGCAGGGACGAAAAUGACGGUACCUGCAGAAGAAGUCCCGGCUAACUACGUGCCAGCAGCCGCGGUAAUACGUAGGGACAAGCGUUGUCCGGAUUCAUUGGGCGUAAAGAGCUCGUAGGCGGUUCAGUAAGUUGGGUGUGAAAGCUCCGGGCUCAACCCGGAGAGGCCACUCAAUACUGCUGUGACUAGAGUCCAGUAGAGGAGCGUGGAACUCCUGGUGUAGCGGUGAAAUGCGCAGAUAUCAGGAAGAACACCGGCAGCGAAGGCGGCGCUCUGGGCUGGUACUGACGCUGAGGAGCGAAAGCAUGGGUAGCAAACAGGAUUAGAUACCCUGGUAGGCUCUGCU
rnacentral:rRNA from 1 species